rnacentral:rRNA from 1 species
GCAAGUCGAACGGUAACAGGAAUUAGCUUGCUAAUUUGCUGACGAGUGGCGCACGGGUGCGUAACGCGUAUACAAUCUACCUUUUACAGUGGGAUAGCCUUUAGAAAUGAAGAUUAAUACCGCAUAGUAUGUUUAAAUGGCAUCAUUUAGAUAUUAAAGAUUUAUCGGUAAAAGAUGAGUAUGCGUUCUAUUAGCUAGAUGGUAAGGUAACGGCUUACCAUGGCAAAGAUAGAUAGGGGCCCUGAGAGGAUAGUC